AGGGCUUGGUCAAAACACAGGAGGGCUUGGUCAAAAUACCUAGAACCCGAUCCACUUCUCCCCAUCGAGAUACUCCUCCCACUCCCCCGUCCAGCGCCGCCACUUCCCCCGUACCGGCCGUCCAGUUCCGAUCAGCCGCCCCCCCUAGCCGUCGAGCGCCGCCCACAUCGCCGUCGAGCGCCACCCCCCUCGCCGUCGAGCGCCACCCCAACUCGCCGGUGACGUCCAGAUCCGCCUCCCUGGCCGGCGAUUUCCAGAUCCGCCUCCCUCCCCGUGCAGAGUGGCUCAUUAUCAUUUAUUCAGACCAAAAGCGUGUUGAUAUUUCUUUUUGGAGGUCAAGUAACUAUGGAUCUAUCUUUUUGGAGGUCAAGUAACUAUGGAAGGAUGACCACGGGGAGGGAUUGCUCCUUGUAAGCAGCAAGCUUGCUGCUGAACUCUGUCAACACCUGCUGCUAAUCGUCUCUUGCAUCUACAUGUUCCUGUUCUUCUCCAUCUUCAAAGCCACGUCUUAGACUGCUGCAACACCAAGCUCCAGAAGCCAAAUUUAUGUUCUGUACUCCAUUAUCUCACCUCUUCCCUCGCUGAUUUCUUGAACCCCUUGCUUGUUCAGUUAGUGUGAUGUCUGUUCCUUUAUGCUUCCAAUUGAGAUGAUCUAGUUCUAGUUUUAUCACCUUAGUAUUUCAAUUAUUUGCUCCUUUGCAUGACUGAAGAUCCGAUGCUCUGUUAGAUUUAAAUUUCUUGUUCAACUUAAGAGAAAAUGUUAGUGUCCUGUUGAUUGUGUUCCAGCAUGAACUCGUUCUGAACCUCACCUACUGCCGUUUUAUUCUAUAUCGAGUUUUGUCCAAGUUUUGAGUGUUGGUUGUUUGUUAGAAGAGCAUCUUCUCUUAUGUAGGAAAAGAAGAAUGGCCUAUGGCAGCAACAAAGAUGAACACUUGCAAGUUCAUGAAGUUGGAAGUUUGCAAAUGUGGUUGAGAGUGGAGAUUGUGGCCCCAUCAAUAAUAUAAUGUUCAAAAGUGUCUUCUUCUGAGUAGAAGUCGUUGUAGAUACUUGGGGCCACCGUUCUCCUCACCAGACCCUUGGGUGGGCGAAGGCCCUCAAGCACCUCCACUUGAACUUCUGGUGAAUGGAACCUUCCAAGCCCAAGUGAAUGCUGAUACUCCGUUGGCAGAAUGUUCCCAUGAUGAAGACAAUCCUCAUGCUACUCAUGCGGAUGAGCAUAGUUCUAUUCCAACACAGGACAAACAUUUAGGAAUUCCAGUAGUAUAACUAGUUAAUAUUGUGAACUGCAGUGCAGUUAGGCUUUCUUUGUCAAUUGCUUCUCCUGGCAAUUUAGGAAUCAACUAGUAUGCGUGUUUUGGACUUGGUGACACCUCCUGUCAAGUCGAGCUUCCAUGAAUCA